AUGCCCAAUGAUUAUAACAAGACGCGUUAUUAUGAGGACAAGUUCUGGGACUCCUACUUUUCCUGAUUUUUCCACUUCUUAGUCUCCCCCCCCCUUCCCUCCUUUUCUUCCUAUUGCCCUUCCUUUCCCUGGAGUCACCAGCAUCCUAUGAACAAGAUUAUGAGAUAUGAGGGCAA